rnacentral:rRNA from 1 species
AGCAGCCGCGGUAAUUCCAGCUCCAAUAGCGUAUAUUAAAGUUGUUGCAGUUAAAAAGCUCGUAGUUGAACUUCGGGGUUUACCCAUUGGUCAGGCUUAAUUGUCUGUACUGGUGAGAUGAAUCUCUACCUUCUGAGGAACUUUCAUGCCAUUUAUUUGGUGUGAUGGGAAAUCAGGACUGUUACUUUGAAAAAUUAGAGUGUUUAAAGCAGGCUAACGUCUGAAUACAUUAGCAUGGAAUAAUGAAAUAGGGCGGAUUGAUUCUAUUUCGUUGGUUUCUAGGAUCACCGUAAUGAUUAAUAGGGAUAGUUGGGGGCAUUAGUAUACAAUUGUCAGAGGUGAAAUUCUUGGAUUUAUUGAAGACUAACUACUGCGAAAGCAUUUGCCAAGGAUGUUUUCAUUAAUCUAAGAACGAAAGUUAGGGGAUCGAAGACGAUCAGAUACCGUCGU